GACGAACGCUGGCGGCGUGCCUAAUACAUGCAAGUAGAACGCUGAAGGAGGAGCUUGCUUCUCUGGAUGAGUUGCGAACGGGUGAGUAACGCGUAGGUAACCUGCCUGGUAGCGGGGGAUAACUAUUGGAAACGAUAGCUAAUACCGCAUAAUAGCAGUUGUUGUAUGACAACUGUUUGAAAGGUGCAAUUGCACCACUACCAGAUGGACCUGCGUUGUAUUAGCUAGUUGGUGGGGUAACGGCUUACCAAGGCGACGAUACAUAGCCGACCUGCGGGGGUGAUCGGCCACACUGGGACUGAGACACGGCCCAGACUCCUACGGGAGGCAGCAGUAGGGAAUCUUCGGAAAUGGACGGAAGUCUGACCGAGCAACGCCGCGUGAGUGAAGAAGGUUUUCGGAUCGUAAAGCUCGGUUGUAAGGGAAGAACGAGUGUGAGAGUGGAAAGUUCACACUGUGACGGUAUCUGACCAGAAAGGGACGGCUAACUACGUG
rnacentral:rRNA from 1 species